UCCACUAAUCCACUAUCAUAUAAACAGAUAUUGGAUAAAAUAAUAAAAUAUCAAAAAUUAAAAUCACAAAUUCAAAACUCAAAACUCAAAAACCUAAACCUAAGUUUACCUAAGUUCCUAACCUCUCAAGUCUCAAACUCACUCCGCGGCUCCGCCUCACCUCCUCUUCUCUCAGCCUCUCGGCCCUCUCAGGCUCUCACUGUCUCAAGUCUCAACUCACUAGUUUCUACUCUCUAUCUUCUCAGAACUCAUAAAUCUCUUCGAACUCGCCUCAGAUCACAGUCUCUAUCUUCUCAGAUCAAGUCUCAACUCACUGAUUCGUGGAUUCGGUUGGAUCGGUCUGUGUCUUCUCAGAUCUUCGGCUUCUGGUCUCAAUUUGGUUGACAAAGGUGGGGAAGAUGCUUUCUGUGUGAGCAGCUACAAUGGAGGAGUCACUGCUGCUGUUGCCAAAUGAUGUUGGAUUGUUAGAAUGUUGAUUCAGUUUUUUUUUAACUUUUUUGUAAUUCUAAUGGAGUAACUGAAUUUCUUGGAUGUAAUAUUUUUAUAUUGUGUGUUUA